GCUUUCUUGGCUCAGUUGGCAGAGCGUCUGCCUAGUAAGCAGAAGGUCACCAGUUCAAUUCUGGUAGAAAGCA
rnacentral:tRNA from 1 species